UUUCAAAUGUCUUGGGACAGAUGCCACAAAACCUUUGAAUUUCAACAAACGUCAAUCCCCCCGCCCCCUGUUCAAUGUUGUGUCCCAUUUCCCGUCAGGUUUGAUGUGUUUUGGUUUAAGCAACAUUGAUUGGGGUGGGGGAAGGGGAGCGGUAUUGUGUGUAAAAAACUGUAAUGAUACACUUACAAUCUAAAACUACAUGUGUCCCAACAACUUCUGAAAGUGAUUGUUGAUAGGUUUCCCUAUUCAUGUCGACGAACGUUAUAGAUUGCCCUUUACUCAUUUGGUCAAAAUUUAAAUUAGUGACCGGUCAUUAUUUAUGGCAGGGGUGGGGGCCGAAGAGAAAAUGGUGGGGUAACUGAAAAAUAAUACUUGCUUUAGGUGGGGUGGCCCAAAAAUCCUUGCAUGCAGAGGUGGGGUAAAUUUUAAUCA